CCUACGGGUGGCAGCAGUAGGGAAUCUUCCACAAUGGGCGAAAGCCUGAUGGAGCAACGCCGCGUGGGUGAAGAAGGUCUUCGGAUCGUAAAACCCUGUUGUUAGAGAAGAAAGUGCGUGAGAGUAACUGUUCACGUUUCGACGGUAUCUAACCAGAACGCCACGGCUAACUCCGUGCCAGAAGCCGCGGUAAUACGUAGGUGGCAAGCGUUAUCCGGAUUUUUUGGGCGUAAAGGGAACGCAGGCGGUCUUUUAAGUGUGAUGUGAAAGCCUUCGGCUUAACCGGCGUAGUGCAGUGGAAACUGGGAGACUUGAGUGCAGGAGAGGGGAGUGGAAUUCCAGGUGUAGCGGUGAAAUGCGUAGAUAUAUGGAAGAACACCAGUGGCGAAGGCGGCUCUCUGGUCAGUAACUGACGCUGAGGUUCGAAGGCGAGGGUAGCGAACAGGAUUAGAUACCCGAGUAGUC
rnacentral:rRNA from 1 species